rnacentral:rRNA from 1 species
GUUACCUUCGGGUAAUGAGGAUGGCGGACGGGUGAGUAACGCGUAAGGAACUUGCCUCUUGGACUGGGACAACUGUUGGAAACGACAGCUAAUACCGGAUAUUAUGAGAUUCUCGCAUGAGAAACUUAUGAAAGCUAUAUGCGCCAAGAGAGAGCCUUGCGUUCCAUUAGCUAGUUGGUGGGGUAACGGCCCACCAAGGCGACGAUGGAUAGCCGGCCUGAGAGGGUGAACGGCCACAAGGGGACUGAGACACGGCCCUUACUCCUACGGGAGGCAGCAGUGGGGAAUAUUGGACAAUGGGCCACAAGCCUGAUCCAGCAAUUCUGUGUGCACGAUGAAGGUCUUCGGAUUGUAAAGUGCUUUCAGUUGGGAAGAAGAAAGUGACGGUACCAACAGAAGAAGCGACGGCUAAAUACGUGCCAGCAGCCGCGGUAAUACGUAUGUCGCAAGCGUUAUCCGGAUUUAUUGGGCGUAAAGCGCGUCUAGGCGGAAAAAUAAGUCUGAUGUUAAAAUGCGGGGCUCAACUCCGUAUUGCGUUGGAAACUGUUUUUCUAGAGUACUGGAGAGGUGGGCGGAACUACAAGUGUAGAGGUGAAAUUCGUAGAUAUUUGUAGGA